AACGAACGCUGGCGGCAGGCCUAACACAUGCAAGUCGGACGCACCGCAAGGUGAGUGGCAGACGGGUGAGUAACACGUGGGAACCUUCCUAUUAGUAUGGAAUAGCCCGGCGAAAGCCGGAUUAAUACCGUAUACGCCCUAAGGGGGAAAGAUUUAUCGCUAAUAGAUGGGCCCGCGUAAGAUUAGCUAGUUGGUGAGGUAAUGGCUCACCAAGGCUACGAUCUUUAGCUGGUUUGAGAGAAUGAUCAGCCACACUGGAACUGAGACACGGUCCAGACUCCUACGGGAGGCAGCAGUGGGGAAUAUUGGACAAUGGGCGCAAGCCUGAUCCAGCCAUGCCGCGUGAAUGAUGAAGGCCUUCGGGUUGUAAAGUUCUUUUAGUGGAGAAAAUAAUGAUGGUAUCCACAGAAAAAGCCCCGGCUAACUUCGUGCCAGCAGCCGCGGUAAUACGAAGGGGGCUAGCGUUGUUCGGAAUUACUGGGCGUAAAGGGUUUGUAGGCGGUUUGUCGCGUCUGCUGUGAAAACUGGAGGCUCAACCUCCAGCCUGCAGUGGGUACGGGCAGACUAGAGUGCGGUAGGGGAGAUUGGAAUUCCUGGUGUAGCGGUGGAAUGCGCAGAUAUCAGGAGGAACACCGAUGGCGAAGGCAGAUCUCUGGGCCGUAACUGACGCUGAGGAGCGAAAGCAUGGGGAGCGAACAGGAUUAGAUACCCUGGUAGUCCAUGCCGUAAACGUUGGGAACUAGAUGUAGGGGCCAUUCCACGGUUUCUGUGUCGCAGCUAACGCAUUAAGUUCCCCGCCUGGGGAGUACGGCCGCAAGGCUAAAACUCAAAGGAAUUGACGGGGGCCCGCACAAGCGGCGGAGCAUGCGGAUUAAUUCGAUGCAACGCGAAGAACCUUACCAAGGCUUGACAUAUACGAGAACGGGCUAGAAAUAGUCAACUCUUUGGACACUCGUAAACAGGUGGUGCAUGGUUGUCGUCAGCUCGUGUCGUGAGAUGUUGGGUUAAGUCCCGCAACGAGCGCAACCCUCGUUCUUUGUUGCCAGCACGUAAUGGUGGGAACUCAAAGGAGACUGCCGGGGUCAACUCGGAGGAAGGUGGGGAUGACGUCAAAUCAUCAUGCCCCUUAUGUCUUGGGCUUCACGCAUGCUACAAUGGCCGAUACAAAGGGCUGCAAUACCGUAAGGUGGAGCGAAUCCCAAAAAGUCGGUCUCAGUUCGGAUUGAGGUCUGCAACUCGACCUCAUGAAGUCGGAGUCGCUAGUAAUCGCAGAUCAGCAACGCUGCGGUGAAUACGUUCCCGGGCCU
rnacentral:rRNA from 1 species